rnacentral:misc_RNA from 1 species
GAUGAAGAACGUAGCGAAAUGCGAUAAGUAAUGUGAAUUGCAGAAUUCAGUGAAUCAUCGAAUCUUUGAACGCACAUUGCGCCCCUUGGUAUUCCGAGGGGCAUGCCUGUUCGAGCGUCAUUACACCACUCAAGCUAUGCUUGGUAUUGGGCGUCGUCCUUAGUUGGGCGCGCCUUAAAGACCUCGGCGAGGCCACUCCGGCUUUAGGCGUAGUAGAAUUUAUUCGAACGUCUGUCAAAGGAGAGGAACUCUGCCGACUGAAACCUUUAUUUUUCUAGGUUGACCUGGAUCAGGUAGGGAUACCCGCUGAACUUAAGCAUAUCAAUAAGCGGAGGA